rnacentral:tRNA from 1 species
GGGCGGUUAGCUCAGCGGUAGAGCGUCUCUUUGACGUAGAGAAGGUCAGUGGUUCAAUCCCACUACCGCCCA